ACAGAAACGACAGUCUGGACAAAUAAAACCCUCCCAUACGACACUGACUUCUUCAUUCAUCCUCCACUUCUCCCUAUUAUUCUUUUUGUGUCAUUCAUCAACUAUCCAUCUCUCUCUGCACCUGUCUGUCCUUCACCUGUCUGUCUCACUCUGUUGCACUCUCUCAUAUAUAUAUAUAUAUAUACACACACACAAACAUAAAUAUAUUCUGUGCAGCUUGUCCAUAAAUCCAGUAAAGCACACAAAGUUCAAGUGUAAAUUGCACUUCCUUAUUACUAACAGAAAGGCUUCACACACACACACACGCAUACAUGCACGCACGCACACACACACACACACUCCUUUUGCUUGUGUAAGCAUGCUGAUUGACCCAAUAUUGUGGUUCCCCUGAUUACAAGAUCAUAUAUUUGAAAAAAAAAAGAAAAAAAAAGAAAGAAGCUAAACUACAUUUCCCACAAUUCAGUGGGAAGUGUCACAAAACGAGGAAGUUGGUUUGAAUUGCAAAUGUGAAGCGAAUCAGCUGGCCCCAGCGGCGCUUCGAUUUGAAUAAGUACACGAUCAAACAACACCGUUCCACAAAAACAGAUGUGUCCUUUAGAAAAUGUACACAGACAGACACACACACCCUUUCACAUACACACACUUUCUCACACACACACAAAAUGACAUUUAUGCAAACAUAUGUAAAUGUAGACGGACAGAAAUAGAGAUGAAAUGAAGACGCAGCUUCACCGUUUCUCUCUUUGACUUUCUCACGUACAGAACUGUACGUAGCGAACAUUCUGCUUCCCGACUGAUUUUAUAACAUCAAGUCUAAUAUAUAGAAAUAUUUCUAUUUUCUCCUCAUUUACGCAGCUCAAUGUGUCCUUUCUAGCUAAUUUUUCUAAAAAAAAUCUAGCCUCUCAUAGAGCGCUCAUUUCAGUAGAGUUCCUAUUGACUAGUAUUUUGUUUAUCCAACAUUAUAAGUGUAAGCAUUUUGUUUAUAGACAUUAUAAGGUGUAGUAUUUUGUUUAUAGACAUUAUAAGGUGUAGUAUUUUGUUUAUAGACAUUAUAAGGUGUAGUAUUUUGUUUAUAGACAUUAUAAGGUGUAGUAUUUUGUUUAUAGACAUUAUAAGGUGUAGUAUUUUAUGUAGCUAAUCUUCUCAUUUCUAGCCGACAGUGCAGUUUAUAAUAUUUCACUUUACUGACUGUUUUUCAGCUGAUGUUCUGUUCUGCAGUAUUUACACACUGUUUAUCUCCCACACAAACACUACACACACUGGAUAUAUUACAUAAACAUAUAUAUAAUUAUAUAAACUUUCGGUUCUCAGUGGCGUGAAUGAAUACUACAGCACUGUGGAAAUACGGGUCGUACCUAAAACAGGUAUUUAUGCUUGUAGUCAUGGUUACAGUCCGACAAAUGUGUAUAACAGAAGCAUCAGUGACGUAGAACCAGGAUUAAACGUGUGACUGGUUGUAAAGUGUCCCACAAGUCUCCAGACAUAGGGGGAAAAUAUCGUCCAAAAUAUUUCGUGCUCAGUUUAUAUUGUAUAUUGUACAGAUGCAUCUCAAAAAAUUAGAAAAUCGUGGAAAUGUUCAAUUUUAUGUGUAAUUUAAUUCAAAAAGUGGAAAUUUCAUAUUUUCCGGGUUCAUUACACACAGUGAAAUAUUUCGAGCCUUGUUUUAUUUUAAUCUCGAUGAUUACGGCUUACAGCGCACGGAAAUCAAACAUCCAGCAUCUGAAAAUAUUAUAAUAGAGAAUUUAUAAUACAGAAACGUCGACCUGAGAAGACUCUGAUCAGCAAAUUAACUUAAAACACCUGCAAAGGUUUCCUGAGUCUUUAAUCUCGCAGUCUGGGUCAGUACACACACAACCACGGGGAAGAUGAAAGUACAUUUGGAAAUCAAGGUUCCGGAGUCUGGAGGAAGAGUGGAGAGGAACAGAAUCCGAGCUGCUUGGAGUCCAGUGUGAAGUUUCCACAGUCGGUGAUGAUUUGAGGUGUCAUGUCAUCUGCUGGUGUCGGUCCAGUGUGUUUUCUCAAGUCAAGAGUUGACGCAGCGUCUACCAGGAGAUUUUAGAUACUUCCAUCUGCUGACGAGUUUUAUGGAGACGCUGAUUUCCUUCUCCAGCAGAACUCUGCACCUGCCCACAGUGCCAAAACCUCUAGUAACCGGUUUACUGACCGUGGUAUUACUGUGCUUUACUGUCCAGCCGCCUCGCCUGACCCGAACCCCAUAGAGAAUCUACGAGAGACACCAGACCCGACGAUACAGACGAGCUGAAGACCGCUAUCAAAGCAACCUGGACCUCCAGAACACCUCAGCAGCGCCACAGGCUGAUCGCCUCCACGCCACGCCGCACUGACGCAGUCAUUCCUGCAGGAGGAUUAAAACCCCGACCGAGUAUCAGCUCAUAAUUUAACACCCUGUUCACAAGGUCCACAUUUCUGUAUUACAAACUCCUUAUUCGGAUAUUCUGAGAUAGCGGAUUUUUUAU
ensembl:lncRNA